rnacentral:rRNA from 1 species
GACGAACGCUGGCGGCGUGCUUUACACAUGCAAGUCGAGCGAGGCCCUCUCCUUCGGGAGGGGAGCCCUAGCGGCGAACGGGUGAGUAACACGUGGGCAACCUGCCCCUAGCACUGGGAUAAGCCCGGGAAACCGGGUCUAAUACCGGAUAUGACCCUCUUAGGCAUCUUUGAGGGUGUAAAGGAUUCUGGCUAGGGAUGGGCCCGCGGCCUAUCAGCUUGUUGGUGGGGUAACGGCCUACCAAGGCUUCGACGGGUAGCCGGCCUGAGAGGGCGACCGGCCACACUGGGACUGAGACACGGCCCAGACUCCUACGGGAGGCAGCAGUGGGGAAUCUUGCACAAUGGGCGAAAGCCUGAUGCAGCGACGCCGCGUGAGGGAUGACGGCCUUCGGGUUGUAAACCUCUUUCAGCUCCGACGAAGCGAAAGUGACGGUAGGAGCAGAAGAAGCACCGGCCAACUACGUGCCAGCCGCCGCCGUAACAC